rnacentral:rRNA from 1 species
UACGAAGGGGCUAGCGUUGUUCGGAAUUACUGGGCGUAAAGCGCGCGCAGGCGGUCCUUUAAGUCAGGGGUGAAAGCCCAGAGCUCAACUCUGGAACGGCCUUUGAAACUAGAGGACUUGGGUACGGGAGAGGUGAGUGGAAUUCCGAGUGUAGAGGUGAAAUUCGUAGAUAUUCGGAAGAACACCAGUGGCGAAGGCGGCUCACUGGCCCGUUACCGACGCUCAGGCGCGACAGCGUGGGGAGCAAACAGG